AGGGACUCCAUGGUUUGUGGGUUUUACAAGCCAUUGAGUCCAACCACUGCAGUCAAGAGGCAUUCAGAGGCCUAUCAUUAUUCUGAGCAGGUCCGACUUCUCCCGGUACUUUUGCCCCAGAGCAUUUGCGCUUGCCCAGCAAGUUCAUGCCGGAUGAUCAGUGGCAAGUCCAUCAUUCUGAUAGGAAUGAAUGGACGCUACAACCUCACCCUUCCAGCUAUGGAGUGCUCCAUCUGUCUGGCAACAUGG